rnacentral:lncRNA from 1 species
CCAUGCAAAAUAACAUAUAUUUAAAAAAAAAAUUGAAUGCCCUGCCAUUAAAAGCAGUCAAUAGCCCAUGCACUUCACAACGAUUUCAAGUAUAUUACCCAUGAUAUGAUAUAAUGGUACCGAGUCAUGACAAAUUUAAUCCACUUUGGACCAAAUCCUGCUGAUAAUUAAUGAUUUCAAGAAGAAUCCAUAUAAGACUCUAGCGUUAAUUGAUGGUAUGAACCUAAUCCAUCUUAUUUGACCUUGAAAAUACAUAUGAUUAUGAUAUUAGCUAUCUAGACAUUCUGAUGUAACACACAUAUAACAGGACAUCAAACGCAAGAUGUGCAAAGGGUAAAAGACAUCCCAAUGCCUUACAAAUGCUUUAGGUUAUGUUAAUUACACCAUUGUGUUCUCAUUUUGCAGUCCAUCUGUUGAACCCACUUUCAUUGUAAUCUACACCAAGAGAUAUUGUGUCAAGUUCAUUGUAAAUCUUGAAGCUCAAAUGAUGACUCAUGUUUUGCAAAAAACUCACAGAACGAGCAGGUUAUUAAGUAAAAUUAAUGAAACCUUUAAUAUCAUACAAGAUUCAAACAGAGUUCAAAUGACCAUUAUCAGGCACCUAAUAAAUGGAGUAAAGAACGGACCUCAAUCGACGAAUUUGUGUAUAUAUAGGAAUCUGGUUACAAUUUUCUUUGUCAUCUUCUUUCGACAACCAUAAAAUAGCAACAGAAACAGCAAGAACGCAAGCUUCGCCGGAAUCGUAAAUCGAAACCCUAAAUCACUCGAGCUCGAACCUCGGACAACGGCUUGAAAACGACGAACCAAAAAGAAAAAAAAUUGAAUUUCAACUACACUCCAUCUUAGAAGGGGAACGUCACCUAGAUCCGACGUUUCUCCAGCUUUUCUAAGGGUCUUUCUUUGCGUCUAAAUUAAAAUUUGAUCUUAUCUUAAUUUUAUCUCUAUAUAGGUCUAAGUGUACUUAGGUUUAGUCGGAAUGGUGUAAGUUUU